CUUUCAAUAAAUUACUAACUAAUCUAGAUUAGAAUAACUCGUAGUAAAAGGGAUUUAAUUCUGAACUACAAAGCACAUUCCCAUCAGGACACACGAACUACACCGUCGGACCAUCUGCCGGAGUCGCUUCCUUCUCCUCCCGCGGACAUUACUCAGCAGUCUUAGCAGGGCUUAGUGCUGAAUCAUCGGGCACGUCGUUACCGAUUCACCGAUUCACCAAUUUUCCGAUUUGGAGCAGCAACGAGAGGGCUUAAAGAAGUGGCGCCGAGGACUGGGAACCUCGACUGGCGACAGCGAUCCAGGUCGGGAGCUUAGCAAGGCGACUCACUGAUUGAUUUCAGUGCAAACAGCAGACCCCGGAGCUAGCACCUCGCCCAUGGACAGAUCUAUCAUUCCAUAAAUGGGUGUCGUGUCUAUCCCAUUUCCAGGCCUCGCACCCUUUUAUCGACGUGAAGAAAGUGCCGUAAUCCGGCGGCAAUCAAUUAGAUACAAGCGCUCUAAGCACUCCCGAAGACAUCGCGCCGUAUCUUAUCUUAUCGCCGCUUCUUCCGAUAAGGUCGGGCAUUACUUUCCGCACUACGUAUUUCGGACUGCCUCCUAAUCUCGAAGCACUCGGUGAGGUCUGGGCUUCAGUUGGUUUUCAGAGGCGAGGGCGAAGACAACACGGAGCUGGCUCCUCCGACGCAAGGCUUCCGUGACUUUCCGGACAGGAACCCUGACUCGAACACGGACACGGACACGGAGAGCCCGCGAAUGCCUCUAUUUAAUUGGCAGGCCACGGCGGGCUUUGUAAUCACAUUUAUGGGUCAUUCCAUAAUUUCGAAAGGACUAGAGAAAACUGCUGCUUGCCACCGCCGCAUCACGUGUGGCACGAUAAAUAUAAUUUACCCGAGGCGCAUGUAAUUGCGGCGCUGCCUAAAUUACCCCGCCUUGAACACACACAUUGUAUAUGUUUAUUAACAUUUUCACUUUUUUGCAGCCACGAUUGCCCAGCGAAGUUCAUUUCGCCCCUGCGACGAACUGACGUUCCUCAUCACUUUGCUCCACGUCUACCCUGUAGAUCCGAAUUUGUUUUAUACUAGUUUUAAGGACAAAUUCGGUUCUAGAGAGGUUUGUGUGGUUCAAUAUCCAUCGGAAAAGUGAAGCUGAUGUCAAGCGGAAAAGUGAUGUUGCAUAUAAGUUUAGAUCAAGAAAAGUUGUUGUGAACAAAUUCGUGCAUAUGAUAAGAUUAUAUUUAGUUGUAUAAUUAAAUUACUAAGCAUUCCCAAGAAAGUAGUAAAUACAAAUCUAGAGAACCCAUAAAAAA